rnacentral:lncRNA from 1 species
AUUGGUCGACGACUGGUAUUUGAUGUCGUAAAGACAAACGAGGGGGUUGGAUAUAACAGCCAUACAGGUGUUUUUACCUGUCCGAAGAAUGGGAUAUACGUUUUCGUUUGGGUUGCAAGACUGGAUCCUGCAUAUCAUUCCUUUGAUUUGAUGAUUAAUAAUUGUAUAUGGAACCACCCACCUUUAUAACCUUCUUACAGAUGGCAGUGUCAGUGGUACAGUUGUUGCGCAUGUUUCAGAGGGCGAUAGCGUCUACGUUCGUAUGCAUUCUACCUACAAAGGUUCGGGUGUUGUACAUAGUGAUACAUUCGGUAGAACAACAUUUUCUGGAUGGUUACUGAACUAGACAGUUUGAUUUAAAUA